rnacentral:tRNA from 1 species
AGGGGUGUAGCUCAAUUGGUAGAGCACCGGUCUCCAAAACCGGGGGUUGCAGGUUCGAGUCCUGUCUCCCCUGCCA